rnacentral:tRNA from 1 species
CAAUGGGUUAGGUUAUUAUGGACUGUCUGUUUUCAAAACAGGAGGUGGGGCUUUGGGCCCAUCCAUUGU